UCUGCUUAUAUAUUGUCAAGACAACCUGUGUUUCUUGUGUUGAGUGUUCUGUAUGUCUUCGUCCAUUUGACAGGUUAAAUAACUGCCCGUGAUGUCAGAAUGAGAUAUUUGCACAACCAUGUAGCUGGCUGAGGUCUUUUCACAAUUUAACGCGGUGUUGUUAAAUCACAAGUUUGCAGUUUCAGCAGUGAUUGCAAUAAACUGAACAUUUCUUAUUCUUUAGGGAUGUCACGAUUUCGUGAGACGGAGGCAUCUCUGCACCACAUGGGAGCCUGUGGCAAAAUGCAGUCUGAGCAGCCCGACAAGGAAUCUGAUCUGCUUGCUUUGACAAGGUAUGGCUGGGCCUGCAGAGAAAGUGUAAGCAGACUGUGCUGUGUUGCUGAUCAGUGCUGAUCUCCACGCCUGAGUUGGUCCCACAACAUCCAGGCACCAGCGUGCUUUGCUUCAUCAUUGACAAGGUGCGCGGCAAGCUCUCACUCAAGCAACACAUUCCAGUGGUCUUCUGUCAACAGACUGGGUGUAUUGAAGUACCAUUACAAGGUCCAAUAAACAACGCUUGCGAGAUG